GCGGGGAUAGCUCAGUUGGGAGAGCGUCAGACUGAAGAUCUGAAGGUCGGGUGUUUCGAUCCACCCUCACCGCA